rnacentral:lncRNA from 1 species
UUGGAAGUUAGCAAUCCACAAUAACAUAAGGAUGACAUUGUUAAUAGCAAUAAUAAGAAUCAAACCUUAUCAGUUUGCACUAUAGAAAAGGUUAUACAAUUUAUUUCAAGCAUAAAGGUUAUACCCAUUGUAAUAAACUAAUUUGCAGCUCAUGCAGAAUGUCCAAGAAUUAUCCAGGCAAUUGCCUAAAGCCAUUUCAAAGUACUUUGAUGAUUGAGAAGUAGAUAUGCUAGAUAAUUAAAGCAUUAAUCACCACCAGGAUGUCACUUAUUAGUUAACUUGUGUGUGGAGACAUAAAUAAAAAACAGUUACAAUAGUUGAAAGCUCUGAAUGUGGUUUCAAGCAUUUGUUGAUACAAAUACUCAAUUUUCAAAUAUCCUCUAGGUCCUCAGAGCAGUAAGAACACUACCUCUUCUCACUGAAUUUCCUCAACUUAGGAACUCUAUUCAGGCUAAACACACCCAUGACUGACUAUUGAGAAACAUAGGACAAAGAUAACAGCCAAAAAAAGAAGAAACUCUAUGCACCACUUAAGAUGAAAGCCUUGCCAUGAGAAACUGCAGAAUCAAUUUUGCAAGAAGGUAUAACCCUGGAAUAAUUAAAGAUUGUAUUUGUUUUAGGGAGAUUUAUAAAAAUGUCCUGGGUACUGUCAUUAUUAACAUUUAAUAGGUUAUUCCCUGUAUUUUGAAAAACUCACUAAAACCUUCCAAGGUUUUGAUGUUGUUAAAUACUUUAGUCAUUCCAUCAAUUUUCUAAGUGUGUUUCAACAUAUUCCGUUAUUCAAAUUUCAACUAAAUAGCUAUUUAGUCCCUAAAUUCAUCCAUUAUAAACACUUCUGUGCAUUUAGUUUGAAAAUUAUAUUAAAAAAUCCUUCUUCUACAAGGGAAUUUGAUCUUUUCCUUAAAAAUUAAUAGCCAAAUGGAUGAAGGGACAAAAGUAUUCAAGGGAAGCAAAGUUUAGAGAGGUUAAGGAUCAAUUUGUUAAUAAUGGUAUUACUUAUGGCAUUUUUGUAAUUCCCCCUUGAUUUUUAAAAAAUCUACAGCAGCUGUUUUUUUCUUGCAUACAAUUUGAGAUUUUACAUGAUAUAUUCUAACUUGAUGGACCAAGUACACUGCAGCAAUAAUUUCCAAGGAAGCAAUAAACUUUGGCCAUUCCCAAUUUCACCCUCAUUGGUCAUGGAUUUUGUCCACAAUCCCAGAUUCCAAGGUGAAAGAGAGUAGGAAGAGGGAAGAUAGGUUGAAAAUGAAGAGAAAAAACAGUUACUUAGAUGAAACAAUCAUAUGCAUGGACACAUACUUGGGUACAAGACUGAAGAAAAAAUUGAAGAGAGUAAGCACCCCCACCAACAAACACAUGAAGCAGGAUGGAGAACCCAGGCAAAUCUAAAUGUCAUAAUUAUAUACCCUAAAUAAAUAAGGGCUGCAGCAAAUAUUUUUUAAGCAAGACACAAAGCUAAUUAACAAAAUAUAUAGAAAACAACAUUAAGAGUCAACAUAUGAAACAUAAAGGUAGUAACAUGACAGAAUAUGUAUGUGGGUAUAAUUAAAUGCCCCCCUCUCUCUCUCUCUCCCUCUAUUCCUUCUCUAAACUAAUAACGUGCUCUCAAUUUGCAGUGCAAAUUAUCUCCCCCUCCCAUGUCUAGAACUUAAAACUUCUAAACUAGUCCAGUGCUCUCAACCUGUGCUCCCAAUUUGCAAUGCAAUAGAUCCCUCCCUCCACCCCUUUCUGACCAGAUCCAGGCAUUGCAAAUAUUCAUGGUUAUCAAAUAUAUUCAAAGUCUAGAAUUUUUAAUUCCAUAUUAAUUUGGAAAAGAAAAUUUUAGUAUCUUUAAUUUUAUUAGAAUUUUAUAUGAAUCAUUUUCUUGUAAUUUGAAACUCGGACUCUCAAACCUCUCCGCCAUCCGACAUUAUGACCAAACAAGUGCACAGGACAUCGUUUGCAAGUAAGUAUCCUAACACAUGUAGAGCCAGCUGUAAUUAAAAGACAAAUCUAAGCCAAUGAGGUUGCCAAUUAAGAUUCCCAUUCAAAAGUACCAUGUAUUCCAUAAACCUUCUUAUUUCAGCAUCAAUGUCAUCACUACCUCAUCUAAACAGGUUUUUUUUACAAGUGUUAUUAAUUCCCGUUAGAGGCUUGGUCAGAACAAAAUUGAUAUUAUGAAGAUACCAAGCAGAAUUGAAAGCAUUCAGAAGAAGGUAAAAUGAAUGGCAGAGUAAAAUAAUGCCAUUCUCAGUGGCAGCAAAAUAAAGAAUGCUAUUCUUCCCAAUCACUUGCCAACAAGGGGGAAAAGACACACCUGCAUCUGCACAAGAAGUUCUGUCUUGAUACGUCUUGAAGCUUCACUCUCAUUACCUUCUCCACGCUGGCCACACAAGGAAUCUAUCUCAUCAAUAAAAAUAAUCGAAGGAGCACUUUCACGUGCCAUUUGGAAAAGAUUGGAGACAAGCUUUUCACUUUCACCCAUCCACUUUGAAACUAGGUCUGACGAAGAAAUACUGUAGGGAAACAGAGAAUUAAAUUCCAGCAACUUGCAACCUAAUUAAAAACAUAGAUGAUCACAUGCUAGUUACACGCAUAAAAGCUCAUUUAGAGGAAAAAGGAAAUCUAGAUGCAGCAACAAAACAUUAAGUGCUGCCACAACAUGCCAAGAUUAAUCAAAUAAAAACUGACAACUUACACCUUCUCACAGCUAAAUUAAAAGACUCUCUUUGUGACUUAGACUAUUUACCUGAAAAAAGUAGAGUCUGCUUCAGUUGCAACUGCCUUGGCCAAGUAAGACUUCCCAGUUCCAGGUGGCCCAUACAAAAGAAAAGCUCUCCAAGGCCGUCUCUUCCCUAAAAGAAAGAGCAAAAGGAAAUAUAAGACAUUAACAGAGUAAAGCCAGUCGAGAUUUGUUACAAAAUGUUAAUACAGAAGUUACAAUGGAGUCAAUAACAGAAUAGAUGCAAAAUGACUGAAUUCUAUAUCUCCGAGUCCUAAGUAACCUGCUGAUGACAUAAAAGAAAAAUAAAAGCAGAGCAAUAACAAGAAAAAUAAAAGUAGAGCAAUAACAACAAUAAGAAACCUUCUUUGCAUCUUCGUUCUAACUGUUCUUCUACCAAGUAAGAACCUUAGAUGUCCAUAUUCCAAAAUCCUUGAUAUACCAAACACGACAGAGCACGCAUGCCACUGUCUCCAUUUACAAACUCACGAGUCAAGAUAAAACAGUGGGGCCAAGACAAUACCCAAACAUGAUCAUCGGAUAAACAUUUUGUAUCAACUAGUUUACUUUAAGGCAACCACUUUGAAGCAAAAUAAACUCGAUGGACCCAAGACAGCCAAUAGAAAGAUUAGCAAUUUGCUAUAGCGAUGAUAGAUUCAGAAACCAUGCAUCAAAAAUCAUUUUGCAGGCAGUUCGAUCCAGCAAACCAUUCCAAAAGCAUACGAUUUCACAACCAUCAACCAAAUAUAGAACACACAGAACGNNNNNNNNAAAUCGAGUAGAAAAUUCACCUGUAAAGAAUUGGGGGAACUUAACAGGCAAAAUAACAGCUUCCUGCAACGCCUGUUUCGCGCUCUCAAGUCCAGCCACAUCAUUCCACUUGACGUUAGGCUUUUCCCUAAUAAUUGCAGAAUUCAAUCCAGCUCUCAAUUUGGUCUGUUCAGGAUCCUCACCAUCUUCUCCAUCCUUAGGUUUGGUCUUGGGGCGGGUAGCAACAGCAGCAUCCCCAUUGGAAGCGGGCCCAGGGCCGCCUUCAUCGAGCACAGCCCGGAUCUCCUCAGCCCGACGAAGAUACUCGGUGAAUUUCUGGGUAAUCGCUUCCCGAAUCUUAGGGUUCUUCUCGUACUUCAAAUGGGUCUUGAAGUACUCAAGCGCGUUCAUAUACAAAGGGAAGGCCUUAGCAUAGUUACCAGCAUUAUCUUCUUGUACGGCUUGCCUGACAUACUCUAUCGCUUGCUCCUUGAAAUUGCUAUACAUCUUAUAGAGGUUCCCGAUCAAUCAACAGAAGAUAUCAUGUGAAAUUUUGGGACGAAAUGAGAAAACCUAUAGAUUGAUGAUAAUUUGGUGAUGAAUUUGAGAAAAAACAGGGGUUUGAAAGAAAAAGAUUGGAAAUUAAGGCUUAAGCAGCCAUGUCAAAGGAAACAAGCGUGUGAUGACUGAGGUGAGGGGAAGGUUCCAAUGGAAGUUGCUAAUAACUUAUUAUUAUAAUAUAAUAAUUAUUUUUCAUGAGUUAUUAUUAUUUGUGUACAAUAAUAAAAUGAAUUAUAUUUCAUUAAUUAAAAAUAAAUAAACGAAAAAUAUGAAGCAAUUGUAUAAUAGAAUAUCCCUAUUUAAACCAGGACAAAAUGCUUCAAAUACUAUGAGAUUUACCAUGAAUUCCAAUUCUCUAUAUUUUUCCUUCUGAUUAAUGAAUUAUGAUAAUUUUUUCUAUUAUCAUAAAUUGAAGAAUAAAAAUUUCAUUCAAUCUAAUUGAAUUUGUUAUCGAUUUUUAUAUUUGAAAUAAUUUAAUUGUUGUUUAUAAAGCAAAAUUUAUGUACAAUUAUAUACAAAUUUAAUUGAAUUUAUUUUUUCAAAAAUAUUUUUUUAAACAAGCCUUAAGAAACAUCAACAUAAAUGAAAAUGCGAUUUCAAUUCUAUUAUUUUAUGUUGAUUAAUGUUUUUUUUUUUAAAUAAAAGUCCUAAACAUUUCCGAAUUUUAAUACUUUUUUUCAAAAUAUUUCAUAACUUUAAUUUUUUUAAAAUUGUAUACUUAAAAAGUUUUAAUCCACCUCCUUCCACGGCUUCUGCAUUGCAGUACCUAUAAAAAAUAAUAAUAUAAAAACUAUAAUAAUACAAAUUAUAAUUUUUGAAAAAUAUAUUUUUUCGAAUCACUAACCUUGUCAAAAUUCUAAAAAAUAAACUUGAACAUUGAUGACCGCUGGAUUUCUCCACCUCAGUGAGGGACCAAGCCCUCAAUCACGGCCCAUCACUCGGAGGCCCACGCGAUCCCAAUACAAAUAGGUCCAGCCCGUUCGAACCUUGAUACAGGGUUCAUAUGGAUUUCUCAACCAGGCCGACCCAGUUCCCAUUGCCUCUCAGGCCGACCCAGCCCUUACUGCUUCUCAGGCUGAUCCUUCUUGGACUCAGUAUUAUUCCUAUCUCCCGGCUCAGCCUGGAAUCGGGAAGAAGGCCCCACCUUCAGCCUUGUGGACCCAUCCACACACGCACGAAGGGAAUCAGGGGCCGUUACGCAUGAGACAGGUACCGGAUAUCCUCGUACAAUCGUAUCAAUAUGGCAGAGACAGGUGGUCCAAUGAUAGCCACGCCGUUGCACGUCACUGGCAUAGGAGGAAAAGGGAUAAAAGGAGAAUGAUCCUCCCCUAAGCUCUAAGUUUUUCCAUUAUUCCAAAAACCUCUGUAAAACCCUAUUUCUCUGGAUCUCAGAUCAUCAAUUGGCGCCGUCUGUGGGAAACGAAGGAGAUCUUUUCAUCACCGGAGUUCCACUCUUAACAAAACCCACUGAGAUCCACGAUGGCUAAUCACAAUGAAAGCAACCUUAACAUCCCAAAUGACCUGAGCUCUGUCCAGGAGGGGCAGCAGUUCUCCUUUUCUAGUCCUACAAUACUAAAUAACCAAACACCUAUUCCUCUCAAUCCCUCGCCAAGCUUGGCAGGGAAUGCUCCCACCGCCACCUUAUCUAACCAGGACCUUCAAACCAUGGCCCUCCAACUACAGAACACCGCCCACUGGUUGGGGCAGAUAAUGCAACAAAGGGGCCUCAGCACCCCGAUAAAUACACUCCCAGUGGUAGAAGAACCCCAAACCAAUGAGCCCCAACCUGUCCUUGACCGCCUCCAAACCAGCAGCCGCGAUACCGGAGAAAAGGGGAGAAGAGCCGGAGGCCCGAGUCCACGGAAGGAGGGUGAGGGAGAUGAUAGAGAAUGAUAAGGCUGACAACUAUUCCGCCGGGACAACCAGGUGGGCGAGAAGUGAAGCAGAGGAGAAGGAAUACCACCUGGAGAAGAAACCCAGGCUGGAAGAUGAGAAUGUAGACCAAAAGCUGCAAAAGUUGAGAGAGCAGCUCUUGGCUGAACUGGGAAAGAAGGAUCAGAGCCAAACCUUCCUGCCCACUUCUUCACCUUUCUCGAAGUGGGUGCAACAGGAAAUUGUUUCUAAGAAGUUUAUGAUGCCAUCAAUGGCGGCUUAUGAAGGAGCUGGAAACCCCCGAGAGCAUGUCCUCAACUACAAGACUUUCAUGGAGCUGCAGACUCUAUCAGAUGCCUUGAUGUGCAAGGCAUUCCCAAUGACGCUCUCAGGGCCAGCACGGGCAUGGUUCAACAGCCUCGAGGCUGGGAGUAUCAGCAGUUUUGGGGAUCUGGCCACUCGCUUCAUUAGCCGGUUUAUUGCCGGAGUGCCAGCAGAUAGGAAGACGAGCUACCUGGAGACAAUCAGGCAGAGAGGAGACGAAUCGCUCAGGGAGUAUGUCGCUCGUUUCAAUACGGAGGCCUUGCAGAUUCCCGAGCUCGAUGAGGGAAAGGCGGUGGAAGCCAUGCAAAAGGGGACGACCUCUGCCGAGUUCUUCGGCUCAUUAAGCAGGAAGCCUCCGAUCUCACUGGUCGAGUUGAUGAAGAGGGCUGAGAAGUACAUAAGGAAGGAUGACGCCUUGGUGACAAGCCGAUUCGCCAAGGGAGUGGCAGGUAAGGAGAAAACCCUGGAGGAAAGGAGGCCGGAGAAGCAAGAGAAGAGACAUGGCAAAAGGCCUGAGCCUUACAGACAGCCCUGGGAGCGAAGGGACCAAAGACCUCUCCCUACUCGGGUCUCAGAACAGAAGUCACUCCCUCCGUGGGUUCCAGAGAAGUCGACCCCACUUAAUGCCUCUAGAGCCGAAGUGCUCAUUGCCGUCCAAGACAAGGAACUCUUUCAGUGGCCUAGACCCCUGAGAACGGAAGCCGACCAGCGAAAUCCUGACAAAUACUGUCAGUUCCAUCGUACUCAUGGCCACGACACCAAUAACUGUUUCCAGUUGAUCACGGAAAUCGAAAGGCUGAUAAAAAGGGGACACCUGAAGAACUUCGUGAAGAAACCAGAAGGACAGAGACCCCAGCCCAAUCCAGCAGUCCAAGCGCCGAGGAGAACGGGAGCUAACCCCGUAAACGACGGGUCUAGUGGGACCAUCAAUAUGAUUGUCGGAGGCACAGGAGGACGGAUGAGUCGAAGGGGGAAAAAGAGGAGUAGAGAGGGAGAAAGCAGCAGCGCUGAGGUCAUGCAGGUCGUCGUACACUCUCCGACGGUCAUCACUUUCUCCCCAGAGGAUGCCCAGGGUGUUCAAAUGCCCCAUGACGACGCCUUUGUCGUUGAAGCUGUCAUUCACAACUACCGCGUAAAGAAGAUCUUAGUGGAUGACGGGAGCAAGGUGAAUCUGCUACCUUAUCGAGUCUUCCAGCAAAUGGGAAUCCCCAAAGAGCAGCUGGUUCGAGAUCAGGCCCCGAUUAAAGUAAUUGGAGGAACGCCAGUAACGGUGGAAGGGAAGGUAAAGCUAGCCCUUACUUUGGGAGAAGCACCAAGGACUCGCACCCAUUAUACGGUGUUCCUGGUGGCUAAACUCCCCCUGAGCUACAACGCGAUCCUGGAAAGACCUGCAUUGUUUGACUUUGAGGCCAUCACCAGUAUCAGAUAUCUGGCAAUGAAGUUUCCAACAGAGGCAGGGGUGGGAAUAGUUCGGGGAAGCCAGGAGGAAGCAAGGGCAGUGUACCUAGCUACGGUAGCAGAGUCGAGCUCAACAGAAGAUAGGCUGAAUUCAGAAGUCCUGGAGGUCCGAGACAAGAAAACAGAAGCCAAGACAGAGCCGGUGGGGGAACUGGAGAUUUUUCCUUUAACAGAAGCAGAAACAGAUAAAGUCUUUAGUCUUAACGCCGGCCUCACCAAAGAACAGAAAAUCGAGGUCAUGGCCUUGAUCCGAAGUCACGCGUCAAGCUUCGCCUGAAAGCCUUUUGACAUGCCCGGAAUUGAUCUCGAGGUGAUAACCUAUAAGCUGAACGUCCUCCCCGAAGCCAGGCCGGUGAAGCAGAAGAAGAGGGUGGUAGGAAGGGAGAAGCAACAAGCCACCAGGGAGGAAGUGUAGAAGUUAGAAGAGGCAGGCUUUAUUAGGGAAGUCAUGUACCCGUAGUGGUUAGCUAAUCCUGUACUAGUCAAAAAAGCCAAUGGCAAAUAUAGGAUGUGCAUAGAUUUCACUGACCUGAAUCAGGCUUGCCCUAAAGAUUGUUAUCCCCUCCCUGAUAUUAAUAAAAUGGUUGAUUCUACGGCCGGUUUUGAUUAUAUGUCGUCUUUGGACGCAAUGUCUGGUUAUCAUCAAAUCCCAAUGGACAAGUCGGACGAAGAAAAGACCUCGUUCAUAACAGAAGAUGGGACUUAUUGCUAUAGAGCCAUGCCUUUCGGAUUGAAAAACGCCGGGGCAACUUACCAAAGACCGAUGAACAAAAUCUUCAAAGAUCAGAUCGGCAGAAACGUAGAAGUUUAUGUGGAUGAUAUGGUGGUCAAUAGCCUAACUUUCCAACAGCACGUGGCAGAUUUGAAGGAGGUAUUCGGAGUAUUAGAUUAGUACAGAAUGAAGCUGAAUCCAGCGAAAUGCGCCUUCUUCAUCAGAGGAGGAAAAUUCCUGGGAUACAUGGUGAGUGGGAAAGGCAUCGAGCCCAACCCGGAGAAGGUAGAGGCCAUAUUGAAUAUGCCAGAAUCGACCUGUGUGAGGGACGUCCAGAGACUGACCGGGAGAGUAGUGGCGCUUAAUCGAUUCAUGUCGAGGUCGGCAGAAAAGUGUUUACCAUUCUUCAAGAAGUUGAGGAAAGUGCCAAACUUCGAAUGGACAGAAGACUAUCGAGAAGCCUUCAAAGAACUCAAAAGCUAUCUCAGCUCGCCUCACGUGCUUAGUAGUCCCAUAGAAGGUGAGAAACUUCUGAUAUACCUGGCAGCCUCUGAACAAGCAGUCAGCGCCGUAUUGGUAAGGGUGGAAGAAGGAGAGCAGAAGCCUAUUUUCUAUGUCAACAAGGUGCUUAAAGAUGCCGAGGUCAGAUAUUUGAAUAUUGAGAAGAUAGCAUACGCUUUACUACUGGCAGUCCGAAAGUUCAGGGUUUAUCUGGAAAGCCACCAAGGAGUAGUAAUGACAGAUCAACCCUUGAAGAAGAUUCUGCAUAGACCGGAGACCUCAGGCCGGAUGCUAGCGUGGUCCAUUGAGAUUAGUCCUUACUGCCUAGAGUAUCGACCUCGAACAGCUAUAAAAUCUCAGGCCCUUGCUGACUUCAUAGCAGAGUGCACAUUCAGUGAGGAACAAGGAGAAUCAUCUUCAGAAGUAUCAGGGAAGGAAAGAAAGGAAGAACUCUUCCAAAAGUUCAGCUGGAAGUUAUAUGUAGACGGGGCUUCAGUCGCCGGAGGCAGCGGUGCUGGAAUAAUGCUUAAGGGGCCUGGAGAAUUUAAGGUUUGCUACGCCCUACGCUUAGAAUUCAAAGCCUCUAAUAAUAUGGCGGAGUAUGAAGCCCUAAUAAACGGGAUGCUGGUGGCAAUGGAGGUAGGGGCAACCGACCUCGAAGUAAAUAGCGACUCACAACUGGUGGUCAAUCAGAUAACUGGGGCAUAUCAGGCCAGAGAUCCAACCAUGCUGAGCUACCUGGCAAAAGUAAAAGCUAUAGAGGCUGAACUCAUAGAUCGGGGAGUUACCAUCAAAUUUCAAAGAAUACCUCGGGCAGAAAAUGAGGAAGCAGACCUGCUUAGUCGGUUGUCCAAAGAAGAAUUAGAACAACUCCCCGAUGAAGUGUACAUACAGCACGUCCAUACGCCUGCUUUUAGUAAAACAAACACGGUAUUGCAGGUGGAACAAAGCCCGACUUGGAUGACCCCAUACCUAGAAUACCUGGAGAAGGAAAAGCUCCCCGAGGAUAAAGACGAAGCCAAAAAGAUAGCAGCUCGUGCUGCCAACUACCAAGCAGUAAGGGGGACCUUAUACAGAAAAGGGAAAUCCAGCCCGUGGCUCCGGUGUGUGAACCCGGAAGAGGCUACAAAGGUGAUGGAAGAGAUACACAGGGGAAUGUGCGGAGCUCACGAAGGGGCAGGGACAUUAGCCAAUAAAAUAUUCAGGCAAGGGUACUACUGGCCCACUGUUAAAAGAGAAGCAGAAGAGUUUGUCCGAAGAUGCUACGUAUGCCAAAGAUUUGCUAACGCCAUCAAAGUCCCAGCCACUCCUCAAGCCAGCAUAUCCAGUCCAUGGCUGUAACAUCCUCUGGGCCCACAACAGUAGAUAUUAUCCGCUUUGGGUUCGAGGGCCUUGGCCCAGCCUUCCCCUCACAGUUUUGUUCUUGGGUCAAGGGAUUUGAUACCCUUUUUUCCCAAAACGCGUCUACUGUGGUCUCUUGGGGCUUGCCCUUAUAAGGCUUCCCCCCUCCUUACCUCUUUCCGAUGUGGGAUACUUUCAAUCCACCUCAUAGGGCUUCUACCCCCCAUAAGGCCUGAGCGUCCUCGCUCAGCACACCGUACUCAUGAGGCCCAGGCUCUGAUACCAAUUGUGUGCUGAGCGAGGACGCUCAGGCCUUAUGGGGGGUAGAAGCCCUAUGAGGUGGAUUGAAAGUAUCCCACAUCGGAAAGAGGUAAGGAGGGGGGAAGCCUUAUAAGGGCAAGCCCCAAGAGACCACAGGAGACGCGUUUUGGGAAGAAAGGGUAUCAAAUCCCUUGACCCAAGAACAAAACCGUGAGGGGAAGGCUGGGCCAAGGCCCUCGAACCCAAAGCGGACAAUAUCUUCUGUUGUGGGCCCAGAGGAUGUUAUAAUGGCCAUUCUCGCAAUGGGGAAUAGACAUCCUGGGACCCUUCCCCAAGACCACGGGGCAGAGGAAAUUCGUGGUGGUGGCUAUAGAAUACUUCUCAAAAUGGCCAGAGGCAGAAGCCAUAGCCACGAUCACAGCUCACAAGAUAAUAGACUUCGUAUGGGGAAACAUCAUCUGCAAGUUUGGCAUACCGAGAGUGCUCAUAUCUGACAAUGGCAGACAAUUUGAUUGCAGCACCUUCAGAGCAUUUACGGCGAACAUGGGCAUAUGGCACAAAUUCUCCUCCGUAGCCCAUCCUCAAAUUAAUGGUCAAACAGAGGUUACCAACAGAGCUAUCCUCCAAGGAUUAAAGAAACGGCUGGAUGGGACAAAGGCAAACUGGGCAAAAGAGCUCAACAGUAUCCUGUGGGCACUCCGAACUACCCCUAGAGCGUCCACUAAAGAAACGCCAUUUGCACUUGCUUACGGCACAGAGGCCGUAGUCCCAGUCGAGCUGCAAAUCCCCACUCAUCGAGUCCAAUUUGUUAAUGAGAACACUAACGACGACAAAUUAAGGAACAACUUGGACGCUUUCGAAGAAAUUAGGGAGGAAGCUCAAGUCCGAACUGCUGCUUAUCAACAACGGGCAGCCCGUUACUACAACCAAAGGGUCAGGGAAAGAAGUCUAAAGGUAGGGGACCUAGCCCUAAGAAACUUAGAAGCUACGGAAAAAAGAGCGGCAGUGGGAAAGUUGGCACCGACUUGGGAGGGCCCAUUCAGAUAGCAAAAGUAGUCAGGACAGGAGUAUACCGAAUUGAAGAUAUGCAGGGAAACCCUGAGCCCCAUGCCUAGAAUAUCCAGCACUUGAAGAGGUAUUUCCCUUGAAAUAUUUGUAAAGAAAAAUAUUGUACUCUGAAAAGCACAAAUGAAUAAAAUAACGCCAUUCUUUACACAAAUGAAGCUAAGUAUAGAGAAAAUAACAGAGAACCGAGCUCCCUCUAUGAAACGGCCCAUAAAUGCAGGAACAUAUAAGAGGAUAAACGAGGGCAAAAGACUGUGCUCACAACUCGAGUCAGUUCGCCAUGAACAAACAUUUAGCAAGAAUAACCCAAGAAGAAGGAAAAUGACAAAGGCCGAACUCCCCGUCCCAGUGGAGCACGCAGAUUAAGUUGCACCGCCUGACGAAGGAUCACCUCGAGGAGGACUAGACAUCCGAGCUCACAACCAGAAAGCAAAGUAAAAUCGCCUAAAAAGAAGCCGUGCAAGUACAAAUAAAGUACAGGGAUUUACUUCCUCACUAUUCAUGUAAUAAAUACUGAGGAAGUAAAGGGGCAAUCCAAGGAAAAUCUAAUGGCACGAAGUAGAUAAAACCUCAGCUCCAGUCCCUGUCAAGACAGAACUAAAGGCAAAAAGACGAGCCCUGCUCAUCAUCGCGACAGGUACAUGAUUUGACUCAUUAUUACUUAGCAAAGGCUAUGCGCCUAAGCUCACAUUAAUAGAGUAACAAGGAUAAAAACUUGUAAAUUGAACGCCUUGAUCACUGUUAAAAACAUAGCUCACGAGUGCAGCUAGCCCAGCUUGGAAAGAGCUUACGGAUAAGACUGCCUUGUGAAAUUAGAAAAGUUUAUGAGUCAGAGACUAAAUCCUUGGUUAAAAUUUUCAGCCUUGAUUAGCUAAGAGACAAGGGAUGAAAAACGAUGUAGUCAAGUCUUUACAAAGUUUAUUAAGCACAGCUUAAGUGUUUUUUGUCAAAUCUUUAAAAUUUAAACAAGUCAGACUGUUUAACAGAAUAAGUAGUCCGAUGAAGUUGAAACAACAAGCAAAAUAAGUAAAAAUAAAGUUUCAUUAAAAGAAAAGUACAUUUAUAGCAUGUUACAAGUGCCUACUCCACUGAAGAAAGAGCUGUCCUCAAAGGACUUACACAACCAGAGGCGCUAUUAUCUACCCUGUUCCCCUUUUAGCUCGGCGGACUCCUUCUACUCCCUUAGAGGUCCCCUACUCACCAACCGAACUCUAUCUCGUUAUUAUAGGAGAGCUGAACAAGUUGAUCCCCAUAAGCAUCUCUCACUUUUCCGUCAUAGGCAGGCUUCCUGUCGCCCAAGUGUGAUGCACGAUACACUCGAGCAAGCCGAGGAAAAUUGGCGAGGCAUUCUGAAGAGCAAUGGAACAAGUGAAUGUUGCAAAUCUACACACAUACUAUGUUGGUCUGCUAAAAUUACGUGUGUAAACAGCAUCUUGUAUCUCAUAAUAAGCCUCAAAAACCAUGUUAUUCCAUGAGUUUGAGUUAGGAGCAGACAUCAGGGGCACCACGAGAAUCCUCUCCUCCUCCCUGGAAGAAAGAAAGACAAGAGCCGAUCUUCCGGAAGCCCAAGACUUCUUUGGAGCACGAACCAAGACAAACACUUUGAGGAGAAUAGGACACUUGCCUCCGACCUUCUCCGCUACACCCCCAUCAUCCACAAAGCUGGGUUCCCUAUCCUCAUCAGUCGGACCGACCUCGGAGGGGACCCCAUAGACAUUCCUCACAAAGGCGAUCUCAGCCCGGCUAGCAAGGGUCCUCAUCUCAGCUAUGAAGGCCUCAGGCCUCUCUCCAGAAGCAUCGCCAAAAGACGGGGCAGGCUUCGCUGUCGUCAAACCGGAGUCCUCGCUCGGCCUUGAAGCCCGAGAGAACCUGAGAGCUUGAACAACCAGCACGGCUGAAAUGGACUUGUCAAUACUUGGCCGCCUUAAAGAUUCGGCACCGCGAAAGCUCGGCUCCGGAGCUCGGGCAGGAGCAGGGGGAGGAGGCCGUCCAGACGACCUGGAAAACAUGAUUUUGGCGACUUGUCGAGUAACCUCCCCUGCCAAUCACCCCAUUAGGAAGACAUCUAAAGCAACGUUCAAGCUCCCUAUGGGCGGCGUAAGAAUCUUAGGGGGCUUAAUCCGAUUCAUCUUUACCCCCAAAGGCUGCAAAAAUCACAAAAGCAAGGUUAGAACAGACCCCAUGAAAGACAGAGCAGAUUCGAAAGAAAACAUAAAGAGAGUGAAAUCAGGGGCCAGCGUCCGAGAAACAAUCCCGAAAUAUUGGAAAACCCCGUUGAAAGAAGGAGAUAAGGGAAGGAUAAACCAUACCUCUUCCACAUGACAAAGAAAACUAAACUUGCAUCUUUCUGGAGAUCGAUUGAACCAGAGGGAGAAGAAUCGGAAAGAGGGAUCCUUUUGUCCCGAUAAGGAGCCUGAGGCUGAGAAGGAAGUGUUAUUAAUAUAUAGCCGGAGGCUGAGAUUUUAAUGUGAGAUAGGGCGACGUUAUACUCUAGGCUAGCGGCAUCAGAAUCCUUAAAGGCUAUUCACAAGAAAGGAAAGAAAGCGUACAUGGAAGAUAAAGGCAGGAAAGUGAAGACAGCAGUAUGCACGAAGAGCAGAGGAAAGCUAGAAAUAGAAAAAAGACAGAGAGGAUUUAAAGCUACAAGUGACAAAAAGAUGAAAGGGCGUUAUGGAGCAAGCUGAAUUCAAACAGGCGCGGUCAUAAUGAUUCUUGAUGUUUACCCCCUCAACAGUUGGGGCAAUAACUGCCGAGAAGGUAAAGGGGCAAUUGAUGACCGCUGGAUUUCUCCACCUCAGUCAGGGACCAAGCCCUCAAUCACGGCCCAUCACUCGGAGGCCCAUGCGAUCCCAAUACAAAUAGGUCCAGCCCGUUCGAACCUUGAUACAGAGUCCAUAUGGAUUUCUCAACCAGGUCGACCCAGUUUCCAUUGCCUCUCAGGCCGGCCCAGCCCUCACUGCUUCUCAGGCUGAUCCUCCUUGGGCUCAGUAUUAUUCCUAUCUCCCGGCCCAGUCCGGAAUCGGGAAGAAGGCCCCACCUUCAGCCUUGUGGACCCAUCCACACACGCACGAAGGGAAUUAGGGGCCGUUACGCAUGAGACAGGUACCGGAUAUCCUCGUACAAUCGUAUCAAUAUGGCAGAGACAGGUGGUCCAAUGAUAGCCAGGCCGUUGCACGUCACUAGCAUAGGAGGAAAAGGGAUAAAAGGAGAAUGAUCCUCCCCUAAGCUCUAAGUUUUUCCAUUAUUCCAAAAACCUCUGUAAAACCCUAUUUCUCUAGAUCUCAGAUCAUCAAACAUGAAUACGAAAUAGAAGAAAGUUAUUAAGCACAAAAAUCUCAGAUUCAACGGCUUCAAUUGUGUGAUAGUAACACAAGUUAUUUCCAUGGCAAAAUCAUCCAGAGAAGAAAAGGUAAUACAAUAGUAGGUUUCUGAGAUAGCUGUGGGAAUUAGAAAACAUCUCUAGGUAAUAUUCAGAAUAUUACAUAUGGCUAGUUUCAAUACAUUUAUUCAUCGACCAGGCCUUGCAAUUUUUUGGUCAUUACUCAAUGGUUCCAUCCGAGAAUUACAGAUGAGAUGAAUUUGUAUCUUAUCAAGCCAAUUAUACAAGAUGAGGUUAAAAUAGUUGUUUUCUUUAUUGAUCCUUCAACUAGUUUAUUCUUCUAAAAAUAUUGGUCCAUCGUUGCUAAUGACAUUUAUAAUGCAGUAGAAAAUUUCUUUGCAAGUGAAAAAUGAUUGAAGAAAUAAAUCAUACUCUCAUUGCCUAAGUAAAACAGGUCCGGUUACGACCUAUAAAAUUAUAAAAUAAUUUACGACUUAUAGAAUUAGACUUUUUAUGAAUAAAAUUAUCAAAUAUGAAAAAGUAUUUUUACAAAAGGACAACUUAAAUCCGAUAAUAUUUUAAUUAACUAUAACGUUAAGCAUUCUUUCCAGAAUAGUAGGGGAAAAGGAAUUAUGACAUGACUCUUAAACUCAUGUUAGUAAGGCAUAUAACUAUGUGGAAUGGGCAUAUAUGCAUUACAUGCCAUCUUGCUUUGACUUUCAUGAGUAAUGAAUCACUUAGAUAAUGGAAUGGAUUACGAGUUACCUAUUCUGUGCAUAUUAAUGGCCAUAGGACUAGAUUCAUAACUCCUUCUAGGGGUCUUAAAUGAGGAGAUCUCUUAUUA